rnacentral:rRNA from 1 species
CCCCUACGGGGGGCAGCAGUGAGGAAUAUUGGUCAAUGGCCGAGAGGCUGAACCAGCCAAGUCGCGUGAGGGAUGACGGCCCUACGGGUUGUAAACCUCUUUUGUCGGGGAGCAAAGAGAGUCACGUGUGGCUCAUUGAGAGUACCCGAAGAAAAAGCAUCGGCUAACUCCGUGCCAGCAGCCGCGGUAAUACGGAGGAUGCGAGCGUUAUCCGGAUUUAUUGGGUUUAAAGGGUGCGUAGGCGGACUGUUAAGUCAGCGGUAAAAGCCCGGGGCUCAACCCCGGCGAGCCGUUGAAACUGGCUG